GACGAACGCUGGCGGCGUGCCUAAUACAUGCAAGUUGAGCGCUGAAGGUUGGUACUUGUACCAACUGGAUGAGCAGCGAACGGGUGAGUAACGCGUGGGGAAUCUGCCUUUGAGCGGGGGACAACAUUUGGAAACGAAUGCUAAUACCGCAUAAAAACUUUAAACACAAGUUUUAAGUUUGAAAGAUGCAAUUGCAUCACUCAAAGAUGAUCCCGCGUUGUAUUAGCUAGUUGGUGAGGUAAAGGCUCACCAAGGCGAUGAUACAUAGCCGACCUGAGAGGGGGAUCGGCCACGUUGGGAAUGAGACACGGCCCAAACUCCUACGGGAGGCAGCAGUAGGGAAUCUUCGGCAAUGGACGAAAGUCUGACCGAGCAACGCCGCGUGAGUGAAGAAGGUUUUCGGAUCGUAAAACUCUGUUGGUAGAGAAGAACGUUGGUGAGAGUGGAAAGCUCAUCAAGUGACGGUAACUACCCAGAAAGGGACGGCUAACUACGUG
rnacentral:rRNA from 1 species